AUACGUAGGUGACAAGCGUUAUCCGGAUUUACUGGGCGUAAAGGGCGUGUAGGCGGUCUUACAAGUCAGAAGUGAAAUUCCUGAGCUCAACUCGGGCGCUGCUUCUGAAACUGCAGGACUUGAGUGCUGGAGGGGAUAGCGGAAUUCCUAGUGGAGCGGUAAAAUGCGCAGAUAUUAGGAAGAACACCGGUGGCGAAGGCGGCUAUCUGGACAGUAACUGACGCUGAGGCGCGAAAGCGUGGGGAGCAAACAGGAUUAGAUCCCCUGGUAGUCCACGCCGUAAACGAUGAAUACUAGGUGUAGGGGGUAUCGACUCCCUCUGUGCCGCAGUUAACACAAUAAGUAUUCCGCCUGGGGAGUACGGCCGCAAGGUUGAAACUCAAAUGAAUUGACGGGG
rnacentral:rRNA from 1 species